CCCUUAGAUGUUCGGGGCUGCACACGCGCUACACUGGAGGAAACAGCGUGUAUUGACCUGGUCCGAAAGGACUGGGUAAACCUGUGAAACUUCUCCGUGCUUGGGAUAGCGGAUUGCAAUUGUUUCGCUUCAACGAGGAAUGCCUAGUAAACGCAAGUCAUCAGCUUGCAUUGAUUACGUCCCUGCCCUUUGUACACACCGCCCGUCGCUCCUACCGAUUGAAUGAUCCGAUGAAUAUCAUGGAUUGAGGAUGCAAGUAGGUUCGCCUAUCUUCAUCUUCGAGAAGUGAAGUAAAUCUUAUCAUUUAGAGGAAGGAGAAGUCGUAACA
rnacentral:rRNA from 1 species